UGAGGUCCUCUCCUCAGGACGCGCCGGGGCAGCUGCCGGAGGCUCGGCUCCGGCGAUCGCUCGCGGGGCAGCGCUGCGUCGUCCCGGGCGCCCACGGGAGCUCCUGCCGCGGGGAGAGGCCGUCGGGUCCUCGGCGCCCCGCAGCGCUGGAGCGGGGCCCCGCCACCGAGGAGAAGACGGCUUUUGCCUUCCUUAGCUUCCCGCCUCCUCUCUCCGAACUCUUCGGCAAACGCCGCCGCUCCCUUCCCGUCCCGCGCGGGCCCCACGCAGCGCGGGGCGGAAGCAGCAUCCGGGCCCUUGGCGGGUGUGCGGGCGGCGCGGCGCGGCCGGCCUGGGGCCUGCGCGCUUCCCGGCCGCGGCGGGGGGCGGGCUGGCUGUGAAGCGAGCGUGGGUCGGGGCACCUUGCGGGAGGCUGCGAAGAGCCCCGCUUUGUCUCGGGGGGCCACUAGGCCUCCCGUUCCCUCGUUCUUUCCCCGCCAGCAUCGCCUUGCUUCCAGGUGCUCCGGGACGCGGCCGGAGCUGAGAGGUGCGGCCUCAGAUGCCUCAGGCGGCGGCCUGACUCCUCCUGGUGGGGGGCUCCGGGCUUCCAUUCCCAAGAGCCCUGGAUGAGGGACCGAACAUCUCUUCCCCAGGAGGGGAAACCCAGGUGAAGAAACUGAGGCCCAGAGAGGUGCUAGCAGCAAUAGUGGAGUCUUGUGUCUUCUGCUAACAUCCAAGAAAUUGUGGCAUGCUGACUUGUUUGUUUGCAAACAGGCACAAGAAUCCAUUAGCAACAUGAUGUCGGAUAUUUUCUAUAAUCUCUGUCUCCUCACACCUUGGUGGGAUCUUCGUAAUUAAGGAUUGGACUCCAUUGUCUAUCCCUAGAGAUGGGAAAGUAGAGAACAAGACCUGGUUUGAAAUGGCAGCUGGGGCAUGCUGGAG